rnacentral:tRNA from 1 species
GCCCAUGUUGCUAAGUGGUUAGAGCAUCUGCCUGCACACCAAAGGGUCGAGGGUUCCAUUCCCAAUCAAGGGCA